rnacentral:rRNA from 1 species
UACGUAGGGUGCAAGCGUUAAUCGGAAUUACUGGGCGUAAAGCGUGCGCAGGCGGUUAUGUAAGACAGAUGUGAAAUCCCCGGGCUCAACCUGGGAACUGCAUUUGUGACUGCAUAGCUAGAGUACGGUAGAGGGGGAUGGAAUUCCACGUGUAGCAGUGAAAUGCGUAGAGAUGUGGAGGAACACCCGAUGGCGAAGGCAGCCCCCUGGGCCAAUACUGACGCUCAUGCCACGAAAGCGUGGGGAGCAAACAGG